rnacentral:lncRNA from 1 species
AACUAUCUAAUAUAAAUGAGAUUAGAUAAAGUCAAGUGAGAGAUUGUUAGAAUCAAACUCCAUAAAGGUGACUUUUCUAAUCAGAUGGGAUAUUAAUAUAAUUAUAAAUGAUUUGUGGUAUUAAGGUUCACUAAGGGUAAAAUAAUUAUAUGGUUAUAGAACAUAUUAUAUAAAGGACUACCCCUAUUUAUUUCAACGCAACAGAAUGACAUAACUCAUACGGAGAUACUUGAUCCAUAAGAGAGAGUUUCUUAUUGUGGGGAUUGAUAAUGCUUAGAAGAAAAGAUAUUUGGAUGUUCGUCAUUUUUGCUGUUGAGAAAACCACAAACAUACAGAUGAC